UACCAGGGUGAAUCCAUCCGUCGAUGAGGC
rnacentral:sRNA from 1 species